UGCGAAGGGGGCUAGCGUUGUUCGGAAUCACUGGGCGUAAAGGGCGCGUAGGCGGCCGAUCAAGUCGGGGGUGAAAGCCUGUGGCUCAACCACAGAAUUGCCUUCGAUACUGGUUGGCUUGAGACCGGAAGAGGUAAGUGGAACUGCGAGUGUAGAGGUGAAAUUCGUAGAUAUUCGCAAGAACACCAGUGGCGAAGGCGGCUCACUGGCCCGAUACUGACGCUGAGGCCCGAAAGCGUGGGGAGCAAACAGG
rnacentral:rRNA from 1 species